UGAUUCCCCUAGUAACGGCGAGUGAAGAGGGAAAAGCUCAAAGUUGGAACCUGGCUGUCUUAGAUAGUCCGGAUUGUAAACUAAAGAGCGUGAAUCCAGGCAAGCCGGUUGAUCAAGUCCUUUGGAAUGAGGCGCCACUGAGGGUGAGAGCCCCGUAAAUCGACUGAGCAUUUGUCUUUUGUGUUUCGCGUUCAAAGAGUCAGGUUGUUUGGGAAUGCAGCCUAAAGCUGGUGGUAAAUCCCACCUAAAGCUAAAUACAGGCGAGAGACCGAUAGCGAACAAGUACCGUGAGGGAAAGAUGAAAAGUACUUUGAAAAGAGAGUUAAACAGUAUGUGAAAUUGCCAAGAGGGAAGCAUUUGGAGUUAGACUGACUUGGAGUUAAUCAGCUUGGUCUUUGGACUGGGUGUACUUGACUUCUAUGUCUGCCAAUAGCAGUUAGUCCUGGUGGAAAAAACUGAAGGGAAGGUAGUCCUUCGGGAUGUUUAUAGACCUUUGGAAAAUACACUGGGAUUGACUGAGGAAUGCAGUAGAUGCUAUUAAGGCUUCGUCUAGUAGGUGUUAGGUGAAGGUACUUGGUAUUUUCAGCUUGCUGAUGUGCUAGGUUACUUGAGCUUAAUUGCUUGCUAGAACUGUAAUC
rnacentral:rRNA from 1 species